AUUUUCUUUGGCUUAAUUCCUCGAAGAAAUGUUAGUUCCUCCUUAAGGCUCUGCUCUGAAUUGAUUGGUAUUUCCACUCUUGAUGGCUUUAGCUUCUUCAGUCUAGUUAGAAAAGCUUGCAGACUAAUUGGCCACGAUACCUUAAUGUAAUCGAAUGGAAUUUCAUUCAAGUCGUCUAAUGACAAUGAGUCAAUUGUUGGAACCCAUUCGGAUGGAAUUUGAUGUAAUGUGCCGUGAACGAUGAAUUCGGUGUUCGAAGUCGUAAAGAUCCAACGGAAUUCUUUU